rnacentral:rRNA from 1 species
AGUUUGAUCAUGGCUCAGAUUGAACGCUGGCGGCAUGCCUUACACAUGCAAGUCGAACGGCAGCGGACCUUCGGGUGCCGGCGAGUGGCGAACGGGUGAGUAAUGCAUCGGAACGUGCCAUUGAGUGGGGGAUAACGUAGCGAAAGUUGCGCUAAUACCGCAUAUUCUGUGAGCAGGAAAGCAGGGGACCGCAAGGCCUUGCGCUCUUUGAGCGGCCGAUGUCAGAUUAGCUAGUUGGUGAGGUAACGGCUUACCAAGGCGACGAUCUGUAGCGGGUCUGAGAGGAUGAUCCGCCACACUGGAACUGAGACACGGUCCAGACCCCUACGGGAGGCAGCAGUGGGGAAUUUUUGGACAAUGGGGGCAACCCUGAUCCAGCCAUGCCGCGUGAGUGAAGAAGGCCUUCGGGUUGUAAAGCUCUUUCGGCCGGGAAGAAAUCGCAUGGGUUAAUACCCUGUGUGGAUGACGGUACCGGCAUAAGAAGCACCGGCUAACUACGUG